rnacentral:snRNA from 1 species
AGCUUUGCGCAGUGGCAGUAUCGUAGCUAAUGAAGUUUAUCCGAGGCGCGAUUAUUGCUAAUUGAAAACUUAAAUAUUGAAAUGACGUAAUUAUCUGACGCUACAUUUUGUUAAAUACUUCAGUCUGU